UUAGAGGAAGUAAAAGUCGUAACAAGGUUUCCGUAGGUGAACCUGCGGAAGGAUCAUUACUGAAGAACGGGUAAGGUUGAGCUGGCUUCUAGGAGCAAUGUGCUUGCCUUAUCGCUUUUUCUACUCUCCACUGUGCACCUCUUGUAGGCUAUGAUAAACCCUCAGUCUCCGGACUGGAUGGAGGACCCCCUGCCAAUUUGGCUUGCCCCUCACCUUUCAUAGCCUAUGUCUACAUAACCACACACCCUAGUCUAUUUGAAUGUAAACUUGUUGGUCUUCACUGACCGAUAGAACUAUAUACAACUUUCAGCAACGGAUCUCUUGGCUCUCGCAUCGAUGAAGAACGCAGCGAAAUGCGAUAAGUAAUGUGAAUUGCAGAAUUCAGUGAAUCAUCGAAUCUUUGAACGCACCUUGCACUCCUUGGUAUUCCGAGGAGUAUGCCUGUUUGAGUGUCAUUAACUUCUCAAACCUUUCAAGCUUUUAUAGCUUGUUUAAAGGCUUUGGAUGUGAGGGUCUUUGCUGGUACUCUUUCUGUGAGGGUCAGCUCCCUUGAAAUGCAUUAGUGGUUACUUGAUCCGCUUUCAUUUGGUGUGAUAGUUAUCUACGCCUUUGAAAUGGUCACUUUGCUAUCCGCUCCUAAACCGGGGUCUGUCUAUAGACAAGGACUCUCUCUUGAACCUUUUGACCUCAAAUCAGGUAGGACUACCCGCUGAACUUAAGCAU
rnacentral:misc_RNA from 1 species